CCGCGGUAAUACGGAGGGUGCAAGCGUUAUCCGGAUUUAUUGGGUUUAAAGGGUGCGUAGGCGGGUCUGUAAGUCAGUGGUGAAAGCCUUCAGCUUAACUGGAGAAUUGCCAUUGAUACUGCUGACCUUGAAUUCGGUUGAAGUGGGCGGAAUGUGUGGUGUAGCGGUGAAAUGCAUAGAUAUCACACAGAACACCGAUUGCGAAGGCAGCUCACUAAGCCGACAUUGACGCUGAGGCACGAAAGCGUGG
rnacentral:rRNA from 1 species